GGUUAAGCGACUAAGCGUACACGGUGGAUGCCCUGGCAGUCAGAGGCGAUGAAGGACGUGCUAAUCUGCGAUAAGCGUCGGUAAGGUGAUAUGAACCGUUAUAACCGGCGAUUUCCGAAUGGGGAAACCCAGUGUGAUUCGUCACACUAUCAUUAACUGAAUCCAUAGGUUAAUGAGGCGAACCGGGGGAACUGAAACAUCUAAGUACCCCGAGGAAAAGAAAUCAACCGAGAUUCCCCCAGUAGCGGCGAGCGAACGGGGAGGAGCCCAGAGCCUGAAUCAGUGUGUGUGUUAGUGGAAGCGUCUGGAAAGGCGCGCGAUACAGGGUGACAGCCCCGUACACAAAAAUGCACAUGCUGUGAGCUCGAUGAGUAGGGCGGGACACGUGGUAUCCUGUCUGAAUAUGGGGGACCAUCCUCCAAGGCUAAAUACUCCUGACUGACCGAUAGUGAACCAGUACCGUGAGGGAAAGGCGAAAAGAACCCCGGCGAGGGGAGUGAAAAAGAACCUGAAACCGUGUACGUACAAGCAGUGGGAGCCUCUUUAUGGGGUGACUGCGUACCUUUUGUAUAAUGGGUCAGCGACUUAUAUUCUGUAGCAAGGUUAACCGAAUAGGGGAGCCGAAGGGAAACCGAGUCUUAACUGGGCGUUAAGUUGCAGGGUAUAGACCCGAAACCCGGUGAUCUAGCCAUGGGCAGGUUGAAGGUUGGGUAACACUAACUGGAGGACCGAACCGACUAAUGUUGAAAAAUUAGCGGAUGACUUGUGGCUGGGGGUGAAAGGCCAAUCAAACCGGGAGAUAGCUGGUUCUCCCCGAAAGCUAUUUAGGUAGCGCCUCGUGAAUUCAUCUCCGGGGGUAGAGCACUGUUUCGGCAAGGGGGUCAUCCCGACUUACCAACCCGAUGCAAACUGCGAAUACCGGAGAAUGUUAUCACGGGAGACACACGGCGGGUGCUAACGUCCGUCGUGAAGAGGGAAACAACCCAGACCGCCAGCUAAGGUCCCAAAGUCAUGGUUAAGUGGGAAACGAUGUGGGAAGGCCCAGACAGCCAGGAUGUUGGCUUAGAAGCAGCCAUCAUUUAAAGAAAGCGUAAUAGCUCACUGGUCGAGUCGGCCUGCGCGGAAGAUGUAACGGGGCUAAACCAUGCACCGAAGCUGCGGCAGCGACACUAUGUGUUGUUGGGUAGGGGAGCGUUCUGUAAGCCUGCGAAGGUGUACUGUGAGGUAUGCUGGAGGUAUCAGAAGUGCGAAUGCUGACAUAAGUAACGAUAAAGCGGGUGAAAAGCCCGCUCGCCGGAAGACCAAGGGUUCCUGUCCAACGUUAAUCGGGGCAGGGUGAGUCGACCCCUAAGGCGAGGCCGAAAGGCGUAGUCGAUGGGAAACAGGUUAAUAUUCCUGUACUUGGUGUUACUGCGAAGGGGGGACGGAGAAGGCUAUGUUGGUACGGGCGACGGUUGUCCCGGUUUAAGCGUGUAGGCUGGUUUUCCAGGCAAAUCCGGAAAAUCAAGGCUGAGGCGUGAUGACGAGGCACUACGGUGCUGAAGCAACAAAUGCCCUGCUUCCAGGAAAAGCCUCUAAGCAUCAGGUAACAUCAAAUCGUACCCCAAACCGACACAGGUGGUCAGGUAGAGAAUACCAAGGCGCUUGAGAGAACUCGGGUGAAGGAACUAGGCAAAAUGGUGCCGUAACUUCGGGAGAAGGCACGCUGAUAUGUAGGUGAAGUCCCUCGCGGAUGGAGCUGAAAUCAGUCGAAGAUACCAGCUGGCUGCAACUGUUUAUUAAAAACACAGCACUGUGCAAACACGAAAGUGGACGUAUACGGUGUGACGCCUGCCCGGUGCCGGAAGGUUAAUUGAUGGGGUUAGCGGUAACGCGAAGCUCUUGAUCGAAGCCCCGGUAAACGGCGGUACCGUAACUAUAACGGUCCUAAGGUAGCGAAAUUCCUUGUCGGGUAAGUUCCGACCUGCACGAAUGGCGUAAUGAUGGCGAGGCUGUCUCCACCCGAGACUCAGUGAAAUUGAACUCGCUGUGAAGAUGCAGUGUACCCGCGGCAAGACGGAAAGACCCCGUGAACCUUUACUAUAGCUUGACACUGAACAUUGAGCCUUGAUGUGUAGGAUAGGUGGGAGGCUUUGAAGUGUGGACGCCAGUCUGCAUGGAGCCGACCUUGAAAUACCACCCUUUAAUGUUUGAUGUUCUAACGUUGGCCCCUGAUCGGGGUUGCGGACAGUGUCUGGUGGGUAGUUUGACUGGGGCGGUCUCCUCCUAAAGAGUAACGGAGGAGCACGAAGGUUGGCUAAUCCUGGUCGGACAUCAGGAGGUUAGUGCAAUGGCAUAAGCCAGCUUGACUGCGAGCGUGACGGCGCGAGCAGGUGCGAAAGCAGGUCAUAGUGAUCCGGUGGUUCUGAAUGGAAGGGCCAUCGCUCAACGGAUAAAAGGUACUCCGGGGAUAACAGGCUGAUACCGCCCAAGAGUUCAUAUCGACGGCGGUGUUUGGCACCUCGAUGUCGGCUCAUCACAUCCUGGGGCUGAAGUAGGUCCCAAGGGUAUGGCUGUUCGCCAUUUAAAGUGGUACGCGAGCUGGGUUUAGAACGUCGUGAGACAGUUCGGUCCCUAUCUGCCGUGGGCGCUGGAGAACUGAGGGGGCUGCUCCUAGUACGAGAGGACCGGAGUGGACGCAUCACUGGUGUUCGGGUUGUCAUGCCAAUGGCACUGCCCGGUAGCUAAAUGCGGAAGAGAUAAGUGCUGAAAGCAUCUAAGCACGAAACUUGCCCCGAGAUGAGUUCUCCCUGACCCUUUAAGGGUCCUGAAGGAACGUUGAAGACGACGACGUUGAUAGGCCGGGUGUGUAAGCGCAGCGAUGCGUUGAGCUAACCGGUACUAAUGAACCGUGAGGCUUAACCUU
rnacentral:rRNA from 1 species